rnacentral:rRNA from 1 species
UACGUAGGGCGCAAGCGUUGUCCGGAAUUAUUGGGCGUAAAGAGCUCGUAGGCGGUUUGUCGCGUCUGCUGUGAAAUCCCAGGGCUUAACCCUGGGCCUGCAGUGGGUACGGGCAAACUAGAGUGCGGUAGGGGGAGAUCGGAAUUCCUGGUGUAGCGGUGAAAAUGCGCAGAUAUCAGGAGGAACACCGGUGGCGAAGGCGGAUCUCUGGGCCGUAACUGACGCUGAGGAGCGAAAGCAUGGGUAGCGAACAGG